rnacentral:rRNA from 1 species
GACGAACGCUGGCGGCGUGCUUAACACAUGCAAGUCGUACGGUAAGGCCCUUUCGGGGGAACACGAGUGGCGAACGGGUGAGUAACACGUGAGUAACCUGCCCACAACUUUGGGAUAACGCUAGGAAACUGGUGCUAAUACUGGAUAUGUGCUCCUGCUGCAUGGUGGGGGUUGGAAAGCUCCGGCGGUUGUGGAUGGACUCGCGGCCUAUCAGCUUGUUGGUGGGGUAGUGGCCUACCAAGGCGGCGACGGGUAGCCGGCCUGAGAGGGUGACCGGCCACAUUGGGACUGAGAUACGGCCCAGACUCCUACGGGAGGCAGCAGUGGGGAAUAUUGCACAAUGGGCGCAAGCCUGAUGCAGCAACGCCGCGUGCGGGAUGACGGCCUUCGGGUUGUAAACCGCUUUCAGCAGGGACGAAGCUUUUUGUGACGGUACCUGCAGAAGAAGCACCGGCUAACUACGUG